rnacentral:lncRNA from 1 species
AUGUAUAAAUACACACAUGGAAUAAUGAAACUGGAUUUUACAAAAGGUCCAUCAAAGGGGGACUGGGUUUCCUUACCCCUCUCUAAAAAGCACAGUUGGAAAUAUUUGCCUGUUGCCCACCAAACACAAUGUGAUUGUAGCAGAAAAAAAGGACAUCCAGCCAUAAGGAUGACUGGGACAGACACAAAGGUGAAUUUCUAAUGAACGGAGCCUAAGAACAGGAGGACAGAAUGAGACCUUUUUCUGGAUUGACAAUGAUUUACAGUCAAGUACUCAGAAUUCCCUCUACCAUUUUUCUCAUCCUUUGACAUGAAAAUCUCACUUCAUCAUGCAUAUUCAUUAAUAACUUCUGCAAACACCUUGCUUGUGUCAGGGUCUGUGGAAUAUGUAUAGAUACUUUUAUACAAUAAUUCUCAGAUUAUGUUUUCUACCUUUGAGGAACUCAAAUUAGUGGGAGAAAUAAAUGCACAAAUAGAAAAUUACAAUAUAAUUAUCCAAGUGCAAUGGUAUUGCAGCCAACUACCAGGGCAUUACACCAGAUGUAAUGAACUCUGCCCAAGGAAGUCAGGGAAAGUACCAGAAAAGAAGUGGUAUUGAGUAUGGCUUUAAAAAGAAGGGAGAAUAAUAUUGCAGGUGGAAACCGUGCUGGCCCCAGACUGCCAAGAUAAGGCCAGUUGGACUGUGAGUUUGGGGGGAAAUGGAAAGCAGUGCCAGGAAGAUGGAAUGAAGUAAGCAUCACAGUGCUAAGGCAACUUGAUUGCAAAAUCAAGGGUUUUGGAGCAGGGACGCAUUUUGCCUUUUCCAGAAACAGCUCUAAUUCUUCAAGGAGAAGAAGAGAUAGGAGGAAUAAGGGACCCUUAGGAAGUGUAAAUGUUACGAUUUUUUUUCUUUCUCCAAAAUUACCAUUUAUACAAUGAAACAUUCUCAGGAUUAAUUAUAUCACCUCAGCACUUAGAAAUUAUUGUAGGAAAAAAAAAAAAAAGCAGGAUGGCCAUAUUUAAUGCCUAAACUUGUCAUGGAAGAGUGAGUUGUCGCCUUUAAGAUUCGAAUCUCAAGGUCAUAUAUGUAUCCACGAAGAACCCUUUAUGGAUAUCAGUCAAUCCUUCUUAGAUAGCAGCCUCUGGAAGGAGCAGCACAGAUCUUCUUUCUGCUUCCUCAUAGCUCCCUCAGGUACUAUCUGAUACUCUCCAGGAAGAUCUGCAGAUUAUUUUCACAUAGUUUCCAGAAUUUUCUCAAGGAUCUCAGGAGGUUUAAAUCUUUUCAGGCUUAAAUCAUUCCCUCCAUCUGUGCUCUCCUCCUCUUUCCUUUCUCUUCUCUCCCGUGACUCCUCUGUCCUUUCCUCUGAGUCUGGAGGUGCUCCAGUGUUCUGCUUUGCAUUCCUUUGAGAGCUCUUGAUCGAGUUGAGCCUUAAGGCUUGGCUAUAUGUGGCCUCCUUUGAGUAAAACAAAAAAUGUUCUUUUUCUCCAGUAUCUUUUUCCUCUCUUCAUAUAUGUAGGCCAG